rnacentral:rRNA from 1 species
AAGGUAGCGUAAUAAAUCGCCCUUUAAUUGUGGGCCUGUAUGAAUGGACAAACGAGAGAAACCCUGUCUCUUAUAAUAAGAAUAAAAAUUAACCUUCAGGUGAAGAGGCCUGAUUAUAAUUAAAGGACAAAAAGACCCUGUAGAGCUUAGCUUAACACAAGCUGCAUAACACAAAUAUAUUAUAUUUUACCUAACACCUUUAUAUAAGCUUAGCUGGGGCGGCUAAGGAAAAUACAUCUUCCAUUUUUAUCUUACGGUUAAUAAACCAAACUAAAUUGACCCUAUAAAGAUCAAAAAAUAAAGCUACCUCAGGGAUAACAGAUUAAUCCUUCUCAAGAGUUCGCAUUGACAGAAGGGCUUGAUACCUCGAUGUUGGCUUAAGAUACCCAAUAAAUCGCAGCAGUUUAUAAAGGUAGGUUUGUUCAACCUUUAAAAUCUUACGUGAUCU